UACGUAGGGUGCAAGCGUUAAUCGGAAUUACUGGGCGUAAAGCGUGCGCAGGCGGUUAUGCAAGACAGAGGUGAAAUCCCCGGGCUCAACCUGGGAACUGCCUUUGUGACUGCAUAGCUAGAGUACGGUAGAGGGGGAUGGAAUUCCGCGUGUAGCAGUGAAAUGCGUAGAUAUGCGGAGGAACACCGAUGGCGAAGGCAAUCCCCUGGACCUGUACUGACGCUCAUGCA
rnacentral:rRNA from 1 species